GGAAAUUGACGGGGCCCGCACAAGCGGUGGAUGAUGUGGAUUAAUUCGAUGCAACGCGAAGAACCUUACUACCCUUGACAUGUCCGGAACUUGCCAGAGAUGGCUUGGUGCCCGAAAGGGAAUCGGAACACAGGUGCUGCACGGCUGUCGUCAGCUCGUGUCGUGAGAUGUUGGGUUAAGUCCCGCAACGAGCGCAACCCUUAUCAUUAGUUGCUACGCAAGGGCACUCUAAUGAGACUGCCGGUGACAAACCGGAGGAAGUGGGGAUGACGUCAAGUCCUCAUGGCCCUUAUGGGUAGGGCUUCACACGUCAUACAAUGGUCGGUACAGAGGGUUGCCAAGCCGCGAGGCGGAGCCAAUCCCACAAAGCCGAUCGUAGUCCGGAUUGUUCUCUGCAACUCGAGAGCAUGAAGUCGGAAUCGCUAGUAAUCGCAGGUCAGCAUACUGCGGUGAAUACGUUCCCGGGUCUU
rnacentral:rRNA from 1 species